GAGCAUAUGGUGAAAUUGGUAUACACACUUAAUUGUCAAUCAGGCGCUUUAAAAAGAUUUGGGGUUCGAAUCCUCUUAUGAAUU
rnacentral:tRNA from 3 species